UUUUCUUUUUUCUUUUAAUAUCUGGGCAUAGGAACUGUCGUUUUAGGUCCUUAUUUGAACACAAACCUGCCCCUGGAUAUCUUCCAUACUUAUGUUUCUCUUUGAUAAAUAAAAAUAUCAUCCAUUGUUAAUAAUAUCUAGAAAGGACAAAGUUGUAGUUGGGAAUAAAUAUAUUGCCAGGGGUGGAGACUGGAGAUAAUGUACAAUUACAGAUAGCUGUGAUUACACCAGAUAACUGUGAUUACACAAGCUUAAAUAUCUGAGUUCUAUUUAGAAAGGAGACAUCAUGUUUUGGAACUGUGUCUGGCUCUUGCAUUUUGUGACAAUCUCUUAUAGGAGAGACAUCAUGUUUUGGAACUGUGUCUGGCUCUUGCAUUUUGUGACAAUCUCUUAGCUGAUAGGGUGCAUUUCUCUGAGCUGCAUUGGUUGUUGAGUUGUGCAUUGCUUUUGAAUUAUGCCAGAUACAAAUAUUGUUUGUAUGCCCUAGGCAAUCUUAGAAUUUCGUCCGGGAGAAGGGGUAGACCUUUGCUGCCAGCAUUUCAAUUGAUACAGAAGUUGACAAGGCAUGAUUAGUACAAUGGCGCUUUCUUUCUCCU
rnacentral:lncRNA from 1 species